UGUUGCAUUACCCUUUGGAUGAAGGGCAUGCGAACCAGAGCUCCACUUCUCCUAUCAUAUUUUUUCAAUAUCUUCACUAUACCUGUGUAGUUAAGGGCACUGUAAUUCUCCAGCAACACCAUCUCUCCAUGAAAAUCCACUAUCUCCCUCCCUACUCUCAUCAGCUCUUCAUUCGAAUCCUUCGCCUUCUCUAUUCCAUCUUGUAGCUCCUGCAUGACAAGCACGACCAAAACGGAAAAAAAAAAAAAAACCAUUCAAUUAGAAUAAAAUCAAUUACAGCCACAAUUUCCCAAAUCCAACCGCUUCCGUUAAAAAACAAUGCAUUUCUAGUUUAUAAAAUUAAUCUUAUUUAUGUUCGUGUCAACGAAUCACUUUCAAUUCCACAUCAACCACAGAACACACGAUUCCUCAUCUUCUAAAAUCCAAUUCAAAAACCCCAAAAUUUAUUCAAUAUACCUGAUUACUCGCUCCCACUAGCAAAGGAGGGAGUAUAAUCCAGCCUCGUUAAAUAAUUUUGCAUUUCAUUUUUGCAAAUAACCUUUGGCAAAUCCAUAAAAAUUAAAAAAAAAAUAACACACUUCUAAUUUCUACCCAAAAUCCAACACAUUAUUCGAAUAAAAGAUGAACAAAAAUUAAGCAUCUGAUAUCAAUAAAAA